rnacentral:rRNA from 1 species
AUGGCGGUCGGCAUCGCGCUCCUGCUCGACCUUGCGGCCCGCGCGCCCCGCUCCUCCGCCUCCCUCCACUCGCACGCCGCCUUCUCCGCCGCUGCCGCCGCCGCCGCCGCGGCUGCCCUGUCCGCCUCCGGCGUACCCCUCUCCGCGCGGCCAUUCUUCGGUUUUCCAGGAUUCACUGUUGCUCAUUGUGAUGCUGGUGCAACUUAUGGAUCGAAUGAUAGUCCUGAUCUUGUCAAUGAUCUUAAUGAGAAGAUACAUGACUCAAUUCAUGAUCUCCAAUUACCGAUAAAAGAAUACCCGUUGGAGCUGAAGCCGCUUUUGUAUGCAUUUGGCUUUAAGCAUUUGAGUAUGACGACUAUUAGGGCCUUUUUAUUAUACUAUUUACCACUUCUGGAGCCUCGUCCGCCCACUGAUGACGAUGACGAUGACGAUCUGCUUCAAGAUGAUUCAGAGAGGCCGCCGGUCGACCUGGUUACUCCCUUCCAUAAUUCAUUGAAGCAAAUCGCUCGCGAGAUUUCUGUUGUAACAACAAGAAGAAUAUUCGAAAGGAUUGCGGUUCGUCAUGUUUCACAAAGAACAGCAUGGAAGCUUCUCAAAGAUGCUGCAAAAUCAUCGAAGAGGAAAGCUCUGAGGGGGAUGUCAAUUCCAGAAUACACAUACUGUGUUGCCAGAACAACUUUCCGAGCGCAUGCAUUGGGAGUAGCUGCUACUUGGGUUGUACAAUCUGUCGUCCAGGUCUACAAAUGUUUUAUUCGUCAACCUGAUGAUGAUGAUGAUGAAUUGUUCGACGAGAAGGAAAAACUCAGAUUGUUUGCGAGAAGGAUCUAUAGUGUAACCAUCAAAUGUGGUUUCUCUUUGGUUUUUGCCUCGAUUGGAGCAGGCCUCGGCGUCCUCCUGCAUCCAGUGCAUGGACAAUGGAUUGGUUGUAUCCUUGGAGAUUUUGCAGGACCAGUUGUUGCUAUCCUUAUUUUCGAGAAGUUACAGUUCCCGCUAGAAGGUUAA